ACUAUUUAAAAAUUAGAUUGCAAAUCUUAUAUUGCUGAUAAGUUUCAGCAGAUAGUU
rnacentral:tRNA from 1 species